rnacentral:rRNA from 1 species
AGGCUAAGUACUCCUUGCUGACCGAUAGCGAACCAGUACCGUGAGGGAAAGGUGAAAAGCACCCCGACGAGGGGAGUGAAACAGUACCUGAAACCGAACGCCUACAAUCAGUCGGAGCUUGACUGGACUCUAAUGACAAUCUGGGCCAUGUGCCUGUUAAAACAGGAGAAGACAUAUGGCUGACGGAACUUUUGCAGUUCUUCUGAUCGUGCUAGGUGUGACCGACAUGGCCAGAAACUACUGUGGAAGCGACGAAGGAUGUUUUGCACGAUCGGAUACAGUUCCACGACUGGCAAUGUCAGUUGGCGAAGUUGUUAAGCGUCGCGCAAAACCCGCCAGCGAAUACUACAUGCGUUACGAUCUGGGCCGUACGAAUGGUCCGUUCGGACAUGCAAUGGGGUUUUCGAUUGGCGAAAAAGGCGAAACAUGGAUCGGUUUUGGUGAGACCUACAGAAUUGGUCUUGGCGAAACGCCAUUCUAUGUGGAGUUACACACGAUGCCGGGGAUCUACCUCGACAACGGUGGCUUCAAUCUAGGUGGUUUGAUUGAAUUUCGUUCCGGGAUCGAAUUUGGAUACGAAACUGAUAGUGGAUGGCGCUUUGCCGUCAGCUACGACCACAGAUCCAAUGCCGAAAUUUACGAAAACAAUCCCGGGAUAGAAACCGUGAUGUUUCGAAUAAGCACUCCAUACAGAUAGAUUGUUAUCAGUGUCCAGUCUUGUGACGGCGUACCUUUUGUAUAAUGGGUCAUCGACUUGGUCUAUCUAGCAAGCUUAAGCCGAUAGGUGUAGGCGCAGCGAAAGCGAGUCUUAAUAGGGCGUCGAGUUAGAUGGAUCAGA